rnacentral:rRNA from 1 species
CUUUCAACAACGGAUCUCUUGGUUCCAGCAUCGAUGAAGAACGCAGCGAAAUGCGAUAAGUAAU